CGAGGUGCGGGUGCUGCCAUCUUCCCCAGACGCCGCCGCUACCGCGCGCCGCGGGGCCCGCCGAAUGCCCCGGGACGGGCGCUCCCGGAAGGCGCCUCCGCAGCGGCCGUUGGGGCUGCGCGUGCGGCCACGGGCGCGCGCGCGGCAGGUGCGCUCGUGCCGCAGCCGUUAGCGGGGCUGUUAGAGGCCGGGCUCGGCACGGCGGCAGUGCUGUCCUCGCUCCCCGGCCGGCCCGUUUCCGCGCUGCCUUCCUGUGAGAGCGGCGGCUUCUCCCCGCUGGGCGCCGGCCGCCUCGGCUGCGGGCGCCGCCGGUGCCUGGCUGCGCGACGGGCCUGAGGCGGCUGCCCUCCCUUGCAAAAGCCUCGCGGGUUUAGUGCCUUUUGCAAGUGAUGUGAGAAGAUACCGGGACUGUUAAUUGCAGGAUGUUUCCCUCAGUUGCUGGCAGCUGGAGCAGUACAGAGCGGUCCUGGCCAAAGUGAACAUCGCGGGAGUCAGUGCAGAACAAGAACAGCAUCAAGUUGUUCCCUACAAAGGGCUAAAUCUGUGCCGCUUGAAUGAGGCAAAAAACUACUGUAUGUUGGAACCGUGCACAACAGCUAUACCAGGGAUUACUCAUUUGACUAGCAUGUUCCAAAUACUAGCAGAUACAAAGCAUGGAGAGCCUUGCUGAAUAUGGUCUGCAGCUGGAGGAUGAGAUUUUGAGGCCUAUAUGAUUUGCAUGCAAGCUGAAGACUUUGGAGCUGUUUUAAUACAGAGCAGAGAAUCUUCUCCAGAGCAACAUCUAUACAAAAGGUAAGAAUUAAUAAUGGUGUGAAGUAGCAUUAAUAGUCGUGUGAAGUAGACUGCUUAAUCUAUAUUACAGCCUUAUGUCAAUACUCUUAUGUGUAAUUGAAGUACUUUGUUUUAUAUCAUUUUACUUAAAGAAAUAAGCAAAGUAAGUUUUAAUGCACAUUAUAAUUUCAUGUACAUUGUGAUAGGAAUUACCUGAAUGUAAAGUAUCUUGGUUUACCUGCAAGUAGGCCUUUACUGAAUAGUCCGUUAUUCAUUCUUGAGCACAAGUAACCCUGUACUGCGUGGGAAAGCAGGAGUGUAUCUGCAUGCUCAGUGGCUCACUUUGUAAACACAGUCCUUAUGUGAUAAUGUAAAAUUGUUCAUUUUUAUCUCUUACUUUGAGACAACUGUAAUUAUUUUCUUAGAAGUCUUACCCAGGUAGUCAUCCAAGGAGAAUUUGUCAUUAUCCCAUAUUUGGAUGAUAAGUUUGGGUGGGAUUCUGAAUUCUGUUUUGUCAAGACUCCAAAAAUGUUCCUAAAAUGUUAAAAAAAAUAAUAAUCCAAGCAUCUUUUAAAAAUUACUUAUGAGAAUUCAGUGCUGUGGCCUGUUAGUACUUGUGAAUUCAGGGGCUGGUGGAAGUAUGAAGGACCUUGCUAAGAGGAGAGUGCUGCUGCUGACAGUGUGGUGUUCCCGGCUUGAAGGCAAAAUUGAAUCCGUUCGCAAUAGCAGUUCAAGGAAAGUGCAGAACUGAACCAAACCGUCUCUUUCAUUAUGUAGGUACAAAAUUAUGAGACUAAUUACAAUCCAUAUUAUAAGUAUUGAAAUUUUUAGAAAAACUUACCUUUUUGGAAACGACACAGAGUUGCUCUGCUGGGAGAUAGUCAAAAGGAAAAACAAAUCUCCAGUUAAAGUUCCCUUCACCAUCCAAUGAUCGAUAGUGAACAUCCGUUUUCUGCUUAUUUUCUUCAUUACCAGGCAUCCAUCUGAAAAUACAGAGGGAUGUGUCUGGUGCUUGUUUGCACUGUAACCACAUCACUAGGUGGUUGCAAACAAGCCACAAGAGUUGCUCACAGAAGGCUGGAGGGUCUUUCACACCCUUUCUCAGUUUGGUUCCCAUUUGGCACUGUAAAUAGGAACAUCUGAACUGAAUUUCUGGUCUGCUAAGACCAGUACUGUAUCAGUGGUGGGAUGUUGGUGGUGUUUUUUUUUCUUUCUUUUUUAGGAUAAAUUAAACUAAUAGCCUAGUAGUAUGUUUCUCUGAUUUCUCUUGUGGUUUGGGUGAGUGUUUUGUUUGUUUGUUUUGUUUGGUUGGUUGGUUUUUGUUUUGUUUUUUUUGUGUGUGUUUUGGUUUGGUUUGUUUUUUCUUUUUUUUUUUCUGGACUAGGAAAUGUAAAAAUUACGAAUCCAGGCUGUGCAGCACCAAAGUUAACUCACUAUCUUUUCAAUUGUUUCCCACCUCAAGAGAUGAACUUCUGGGAUCUUUCACUGCACAUUAACUGGUCAUACUUUAUCUCCUAAUACUUCUGUACUUCUCGGAGGUUAGCACUAUUUCAGAGGCCGUAGUGUGCACUGACUUGGCUGAACCAAAUAAUCUUUGGAACCUGUGGUCUAGGCAUUCCCAGGACACUCUGACAGUUAUUAAUUUGUAAGUGUUACAUGAUAGGGUGCUCAUACCCCUUAACGUAAAUGUCACUCAUUUCUUCCCCUGUGAUGCUCUUUUCAUCCAAAAGGACGUCUUUGGUGUUCCAGACAAUCACCCGCAAGACAUACCUAAGAGAGAUGUUUGGGGAAAGAGAAUUGAAUUUGCUUGUGUCAGGGCUGCCAGCUGGUGUGCAGUAUAUAUGGAUACUCACUUCUUGGCUUUUCGGGGAGUGAUGUUGAAGGGAGGGCCUGGAGGUCCUAAGCUUUUGGGGAAAACAUCAACCCACAUCUGGAGCUUUCCCUGUGGCAGUGGAGAAGAUGGAUGAGGGAUUGUUUGUUGUAUACGGUUUUGUCACGGUAAUCCCAUGGAACUGCUUAUUGACAUGCUUAAGUACUAAUUUUUGCCACAGAGCAGAGCUCACCCAUGUUACCAAUGUCGGAGCUUCUCUAGACUUCAGAUAGGAGCAAGCCCAAUCCUUCAUGCGAUACAAGCUUCUACAAAUGAACAAUGCCAAGAAUUCACAUGAUAGGGAUGUUAAUUCCUAGUGAAUUCAGUGCAAGUUAGAGGCCUAAAUAGUUCUCAUUCUGGAGGUCCAACUUCCUGUUCUCUCAGAGGUGCUAUUAAGUACAGUGUCAUUUGUGUGGCUGAUAGUUUGCAGCUGGUGGCCUAUGCAGUGUAGAUGAUCCGUCCCCUUACCUAGACUCUGAAGUAAGGCAACCACUGAAGAUUAUAUACUCUAUUUCAAAUGCAGGCACCUUUAUUUUUGCAGUUAAGUUCUCUGGUUGCUGCAGAAACUUUCUUAAAAAUACAACCACUGGCGAGUUAGUAAAUGCUAGAAAACAAAUGUUAGCCUUUGUUCCUCUCUAACAGAGAGGUCCAGUGUAAGACUUUGUGCUUAAACUAGCACCUUUGGACCUUGUAGAGAAAUUACAAGAUUGGUCUCAUUUGUUGACUGUAACUUGGAAGCUCUCAAGCCAGGCUGUCUCCAUUAUUUUUGGUGAGGUAUUAAAUACAUAUUUCAAUUUAUUUCAGUACUGAAGUAAUAAAUCUUUCCCAAUUUCCAUUCUGUCAGUGUUUAAGGUGUCACUUGGGGGUCUUAGUGGCAAAACUUAACUGCAUUUUUUUUACAUUUCUAGACUAACUUGCCUUAGUUUCUCAGUCAAAUAAUGUUUUAUAGCCCUCUUCCCCCUGAGUGAUACCACACCACUGACAACAUGACAUAAAUGCAGGAAUGCUCUAUUUCUGUAUUGAAGAAACAAGAAGUAAACUGGCUCAUAGUACCUGGGAGAUGUUGGGCUGGAAGGUGCUAUAUAAGGUCCUUGUCUCCACAUGUUCAGGUACUAAACCCUGGGUUCUCAGGAUAUGAAGGGCCAGCCGCUCUUCACCUGGACCAAGAUGCUGAUGCAAAAUUUUGUUAGCUUCUGAAAUAAAAGAAAUGGACAAAGAACAUGAGUUAAUGAACCAGAAUUUGGAUUUGAACUUUAAAAAAAUGUAAACCAGAUAUUUAAAAUUGAGUGGAAAACUCUGCUCAACAUUAAAAAAAUCAAAUUUUUUCUAAUUUUCUGUAAAAAACUAAAAAAAUUUAUAUAUGUAUCAAUGUGUAUUUAAGACAGAAAUACAGAAUAAGUGAACGAGCUCACCAGCUUCCUCCAAAGUAUAAUCUCGUCCCCCGUAGUUAAUCUUUCUACCAUUCUCAGAGAGGACAGGAGGAGCAUAGCCUUUAAACCUGGCUACAUUUUGCAGUAACUGGGUUGGUUUUAGUUGAUCACGCCAGGUAUUCACACCUGAACUUUUGGGAAGGAAAAGAAAUACAUCAUAAAAUUAUUCAGCAGUCAGGGCAUUUACAUGUCAUGUAAAAUGUAUUUAUUAAACUCAUUCAUAAGGGGCAGCACUGUAACUGCCUAGAUUGAGGCCACUUGAGUUUGAGACAGUGACAUAAUUUUGUACCAGCUCUAUUACUUUCCAAGGCAGAAUGCUUUUUUCUUUACAUAUCAAAGUAAUUUACACUAAAAGAUGCCUUCAUGUUUAUUUCCAUGAGUAGGUCAUAAAAUUCUGUUAGGUGUAUGUUCUCUGGACAGAAAUAACACGCAUUACCAUAUAAAGAGAAUAUUAAAAUGUUUGGUAUCAUGGUUUUAAGUCAAGGUUCUUCUGAACACUUUGCAGCUUACCUUGGAAUUCAGAUGCUAGAGUGAGCACAACAAACACCCAUGAGAAGCCAUAGCAUUGGUUAUUAACCAUAUAAUUCUUAAAAUGAAGGAAGCACAGGUUUUUGGUAAUAAUUUUUUGUUUGUUGUUUUUUUGUUUUUGUUUUUUACAGAGACUGGUUACUAUAUCUUACAGAUAAGAAAUUUUCAAUAGACAGAGUGACUUACAUGCAAUACUGCUGUGGGAUGCCACAGUGAGAUCCAUAACGAGAAAGGAAUCUGUUCUCAAGAUCAAUUAUGGUUUCACCCACUUUUUCAUCCUGCGUCAAUGUGUCAUAGUCAUAGACUGAAAUUUUCAGAUCCUUUUCUUGAGGCAAGAAGCAGCUGAGUUCAUACAUUCUAAACAUAAAAAUGUCCAGUUAAUGCUAUCGCUCUUUCGAGCACUACUUUUUAAGCUUCAAACCAAACCAAAACAACGCCAAACUAAAACAAAACCCAACUUAAGCACGUUUAAGUUUAUUUUUGAGCAAUACCCUUUACAAGAUAUUAAAGAGAUGCCAGAGGGGUGGUAGAUGCCUCAUCCAUGGAUGAGGCCAGGCUGGCCAGGGCUCUGAGCAACUUGAUCUAGCUGAAGAUGUUCCUGCUCAUUGCAGGGGGGUUGGACUGGAUGAGCUCUGAAGGUCCCUCUCAACCCAAACCAUUCUAUGAUUCCAGUGCUGAUAAAUCUAGCAGUAGUUACUGCUCAUACCACAAUUUCUGUUUUCACUUAUUAAUAAUUCCAUUAGCACUCCUAUGGAUAUUACAUCCUUCCUUUCUGCCCAGUGUAUUCCUUAGAUGUUUUCUGUGCAGCACCUUGUAUUGGGACUGAGAAAAAAACUAGUGUGGGUCUGCCAGCCACUUUAGAAAAAGGAUGGUUGGUCAGUCCAUAGUAUGUGUGUGAUUAGAAACUUUACAUUUUUUUUUACCACAAUAAAACCAUAGCUGGAGCCUUAAAAACUAUGGUCCAAAUGUAUGCUUGUAUGACUAGAAGGGAUUAUUCUGUCAUCUAGCUGUCCUACACCAAACAGACUGUAUAAUUUUCUCAAAUUAAUUAUUGGAAUUUACUUCCAAGAUAUGCAGCCUCAGGGUUUGUACUGCUGCUGAAUCUGUUGCCUUUGAGGUAAAGUAUUCCAUGGUUCAUUAUUCUCUGCAUCUUUUUUUGUUUUGCUUUAUUUCUAGUGUAACUUUUAAACUGUGGCUUCCAGAGUAAUUCUGGAAAAACUUGGAAUCUUGAAGGUACUUUAUACCCAUAAUCAAGUCUCUUUGCUGUCUAUGUCUUUGCAUGAUCCGAACAAUUGGAAUCCUGCAGCACAUCAUUACAAAGUAGGCCUUCCCAGCUCUUUAUAAUGCUUCUAGUCCUCCCCUCCUGACUUUUAAAAUCCUCCCCUAACUCUGGAAACCAAGCCAGACCCAGAAUUUUAUUAGUAAUUAUAAAGAUGCUGUAACCUCUCCAUUCCUAAUUAGUAUUUUUUCUAUUGAUAUAUUUCAAAUAUAUUGUUAGUCUUUGAAGGAAAGACCAGUGUACGGGUAAUGUAUGUUAAGCUGAUUACUCAUUGUGACAUCCAGUUAGUUUUCAGAGUUAAAACUUUUUCCAUAUUCUAUAAGCUUAUUUUAUUCUUCUUGUAUGCAUAACAAAGGGCAGUUUUAAUACAUAUACAUUAUUUGACUUUGUGCAAUUUACCCAUGUGAUACAGAAAAUCUGUAGAGUAGCCAAACACCCAUGUUGUCCAGUGAUUUCAAAGGGAAAUGCCUUAUGCAACUUUACACACAGUUAAUUGUCAGUAUGUAACUAUGACUACAGCAUUGGAUAUUUCAAAUAAUUGUUUAUCUUAAAAAAUAGGAAAACAUUCUAAAAUACAAUAAAUUGAAAAUACAAAAAAAUUUGUUACCUGCCAAAAAUUGGGUUGAGAGUAUUAGGCACAUAAUUAUCUCUGUCUUCAAUUACUUUUUUACUCAGGGAUAUUUUUAUAUAAGGAUCGCACUAUUUAAAAUAAAAAAAAAUAUUGUUAAGAAAUAGUUAUCAAGACUAACUUUAUUUGAAAUACACUACAGCAGAGUUAGCUCACAGACAUCCCAAAAGUAAAAAGUCUCACCAGCCCAUUAUUAUCCUGGGGUUGAAGCUGCAAAGCUCGAACAAUAUAAAUUCGCACGAUGCACUCCUGAGGCCCACUGUCCGGGAGCUCACGGAACUGGCGAGGGGGAGCUGGAACAGUGGGAUCAUCAGGCAAUGCAUAGAUUUUAAAGGAUCCCUAAAAAAUAAUGUAAAGACUGAGUCAAGAGAAAUGUAGCAAAGUUACUGUUAGGUUUGUUUUUUCUUAUUUGUCCUCCACAUUCACACUCUGUUUUAUAUAGAAUAGCAAAAUUACAGCCUGAUCCAUAGUCACUUAGAAGUCUUUUGGUUUGCUUUAGUGGAGUUUGGAUAAGACUUACUACAAAGGCAAGGUUAUAUCCUUAGCUGAUUUAAAUCAAUACAGCUCUUUUGAUUUCAACAGUUACUUGGUUUUCUGCAACUGAGAAUAUGUAAUAUAUAUUCCAUAAGCAUCAUUUAAUGUACUGUUUUUAUUUUUUUCUUUUGUUUGACCAUUGUUUUUUUUUUUUUGUACAUACCAUGUUAACAUUAUUUUAAUCUUUAAAAAUCACAGAGAGAGUCACAGAAAUAGUACCAAAUACCUUUUCCAAAUUUAUUCUAAAAAUGUACUUUGCUCAGAACACCUGCAGGUGAAGCUUUAGGCCUGUUCACGAGGUUGUCUGGUAAAGUUCUGUACCACAGGUACCAGGGAAGGUCACAGCAGCAGGAACAGAAUUUCUUUUAAAUUAGCAUGUAUCACGUUUAGCGUGAGAAACAUGUAGCUAUACAUUCCUUGAAAAAGAAGGGCCUGUACCUAAGCAGUUAUGAGCAUCUGUUGCUUCUGUUAGCGUGUCCAUGCUUAAGCUGAAAUGCUUGCAUGUCGACUUACUUAAUAAACCACUUACAUACAAAGCACUGUAUGUAGCAUUUGCUUGUUGCCCAUUAUUUGACAUUUACCUUGAAUUCCCCAACCACUGAUGGAUCAUCACUGUCCUCAGAUUUGCCUCUGUAUAGCUUAAAUGUGUCACAGAAGUCUGUUAAGCUAUUAAAUUCAGGUACCUUUUCCAAUUCACAGUCGUACACCUUAAAAAAAGAAAAAGGAAAAUGAAAAAAAUGCAGUUUAGAAAUUACCGCACAGAUGAGCUCCACCAUUGUGGCACUGCAAAGUGUAUUGUAUGUUUGAUAGAAUAUCUUAAGGAACCAAAGCAUUUGGAACAUUUUUAUUUUCACAUCUAAGUGGAAGCAAAUGCGAUGCUUGGAGAACAUGCUAUCAAACUUCAUUUAGGCCAUGUUAAAAACAGAAUAAAUAGCAUUUCACAAACUUAUCUUUCUUCAUGAGGUGUAUUAGAUGAGAAAUGAAAGUGGUCUGGCUUCACCUUCUAACCAGACAGUAAAAGUACUGAUCUUCUCUUUUCAUACUUUCUGAAUGUGUCUGUUUAUUUAGGAUCUGCCUGGCACCAAAAGAAGUCAGGAAUAAAAUUCCAUUUGACUGAAGUUUAGAUUAAACUCUUAAUACAUCUCUUAGUAAAUGUUGUUAAGUAGAAAAGAAGCAAACGUAUCUUCUCAAAACCUUCACUUCACCACAUGAAUUAGUAGUGGAUAUUUACAGGAAAUCAUGUACAGUUAAACUCUGAAGAGCAUUUAAAAACAAAGGGCACAGCUCUGACCAGCCUUUGGGCCUAUAAACACUGAGAUAAUUUAUUUUAUCCUGAGCAAUACCUUUAAAGUGUCAUAUCCUUUUUUAAUAUACUGUCCACAUUUUUCAUGGUCUCCUAUUGAAGCAUAAAAUUUGCUCCACCAAUCAACAAUUUCUUCCUCCUUAAAGAAAAGCGAAUAAAAAAGUGUUAUUGAGAUACAAAGCCUUUUUUAUAUCAUGCUGUACAGCAGAAACAAUGAACAACAGAAACUACAAAACAUACUAAAAGACAGUAUACUCUGAAACUUAGUUAAGUAAUAGUAAAGGUGCAUCUGAAAGAAAAUUAGAAUGUGAAUAUUAAGGCUAAAACCACGGAAUUUCUCUUACCCAGGUUUAGGUAUCUAACCUAUAAUCCAGCUGCGUUGACAGUCAACAGCCAGCCAUCUCCAAGCAAGCAAUUAAUUGCUGGUAUCUAGAAACCUGUUGCAAACGACUGACUUCUGGAGGUGAGCGUAUUUCUCUCCUCCAUCUCUGGGCAGGGCGGCACAUCUCUCGCCACCUGCGUUCUGGAGUACUGCAGUCAGGGCAAGGGAAGGGAACGUAUGCUCAGCUGGUGCAGUCUUUGCUUCAGCUGCUACGGAGAAACAUUGUCAUACCUGGUAUUCAUUACAGGAAUUGCGUGACUGUAAAUACUACAGUGAACACGUUGAAAACUUCUGAGGGACAAAUAUGCUAGUUUGCUUUCAGCAUUCCCAUUUAUUUCAAAACUGUUGCCUUGUAGUAACACUGUAACUGCUCUAAUCAUGCACCAUUCCGUUAAAACCAGUGAGGAUUGUCUGUGUUGUGACAGAAUCUGGCGUUUGGAGAUUGACCUUAAUGUUUACCAAAGGCACUUGGAAAAAAGGAGCAGUGAGUUUUGCUGUCUUAGAAAUACUUUAGUGAGCUUCAGGAGACCCUAAAUGUUAGCAAUCUAUACAUUCCACUAAAACAGUUAUUUCUGUGGGGUUUUUUUAUCUUUAUUUAAGUCUGAUAAUCACUUUGUUCAAUAGUGUGAUAUUUUCUGUGCUUAUCCAUAGGGAUUGCAUAAUAUAAUUAUCUGUCCCUGAAAAUAUCCUUCGAUUGGUAAUGAAUAGUAUUCAUUCAUGGUGUAAAUUUGAAAAAGUCUUUAAGAUUGUUUGAAUUUAAGUAGAGUCUUAAAGUACGUGAGCUGUUUUUUAAAAUAUCUAGGGGCUUUUAUUUCAGUCAUGCAUAUUUUUCCUAAAUUUGCCAUUUUACAAGUUCACUGUAGGUUUUAUGUCAAGCAUUUUCAGAGAUUACCGUUCUCAUCCAUGUGCUUCAAAUGCUAAUUUAGGGGCAGUAUUGAUUUAUUGAUUUGCAGUUGGGGAAAACCAACGUGUAGAUUUUAAAAAAAUAACAGACAUUACCUUUUCCGUAAGCUGGUCAUGACGAUCAAUUGGUAAAAAGAGAGCAAAACAAAACCAGUGGUAAGGAUAUGAUUUUUUAAUGACUUUAUGAAUUCUAUACAGUUAAACAGACUUUAAAUGUUUAGGUUUUUUUAUAUCGUAUGUAUGUAAAGUAAGUUACUAACAUCAAUAAUUUAUAUAUACUUUUGAAGAAUACUCAGACAUCAUGUUUAACUUUUUUCCUGCUGUUAUGUCCCAGAUAUUAAACUGGAGCAUAUAUAUAAACAUUUUUAAAAGCAGGUUUUUAGUACUGUAGGAUUUUAUCACCCUGCGCUUUGUUCUUCAUAUAACAAAGCAAAACUGAAACUUGGUUUUCUGUUGUGUCAUUGCAGUGUUCCACUCUGAAUUCUGUUUAUUGAUUUCCAUGAUAGCAUCAUCUGUGCCUUCAUCUGUGGUUGCAUAGAGCACUGGAUCUGAUUUAUCUCAUUUGAAAAAUGUUUCUAGGAGCACUUGCAAAACUGCAUCUAUUCCAGAGAUUGUUUUCCAAACAACUUUCACAUAUAUAAAGUUCAAGUUAUUUUUUUUUCCUUUUUGAAUAUUUAGUUCUUUAUAAAACAAUUUGCUAAUGCUCAACAGCCUUUUCCCUUUUCCUUCUACUAUCAUUUUUCAAUUGGUUACAGGCUGUGGAUUUUCAGGAGUCUGGAAGAAAGUGAAUUAUAAAGUACAGUAUCAACCAGUAUAUAUGUCUAUGGAUUUAUCUGUAUAAGUGUAUUAGCAAUCUACACAAUCCAAAAUGCUUCACCGGUUAAAUCACAGAUACCAUAAUUAUGACCAUAGUCCAUUAAGAGCAAGCACCAUGCAUCCCAUUUGGAAGCCAAGAUUAGCAAGUGUGAUUUUGGAUAGUGUUUAUGCAUCAUACCGUGUGUUUUAAUUUAAAGGCAUAAUCCAUAAAUUUUUGUGCAAAGCAGAAGAAAUAUGCAAAAUGCUUUAUGAAUACGAGCCAAAUGCAUCAAUAGAUCAGGACAUCACACUGGUAUAUCAUGGUCAUUUACUUCGAUUUGCAGUCUCUAAGUAAUUCUCUUGCUGGGAUGUGCAGGUGUACUGUAUUUGCGUAGUCUUGUCUAACUUGAAAUCAGAAAUACAGAUUUUUUUUUUCAGAUUUGCACAGGACUGACAGAGGUUCUUAGGGACAUGGUUUAGUGCUAGAAUUAGGUUAGGUUAUGGUUGGACUUGAUAAUCCUGAGGGUCUCUUCCAACUGUGAAAUGAUUCUAUGAUUUCUUAAAGGUAAUUGGUGUGAUUUCUUCUCAGAAACCACGUCAUGUAGUGAUUUGCAAAACUUACAGGCAGAAUUCAUGAGGUAAUUUUGAAUACUUUGCCAUAUUUAAAUUUGUCUUUGUUUAAACACUGGUUUGUAACAUUGACAAUAUGAAGAGUAGUUUGCAUAGCUAUGCAAUAAUGAUUUAAACUCUCAAUUCAAAGCCUUUUCACAAAAUACAUUGUGUAGAACUCUGAAUCUUUCAUCAAAGCAUAAUGUUGGAAGAGUUUAAAUUAGGGUUUGCGGUUUUGUGGUGUUUGUUUGUUGUUGUGGUGUAGGGAUUUUUGUUUGUUUUUUGUUUUUUCCUUGAUAUACCUUCAUAUGUCUCCUCAGCUAAUGCACUUGGUAGCUUCGGGAAGAAGAGAUUAAUAGAAAAAAUAAUCAAAACCUUAAGACCUUCUUUAAAAAUUCCCAAAGCAAAUAAUGCAUUUUCAAUAUUUUGGUAUUACUGUUACUAAAACUGGUAAGCAGGAUGUUCUCACAGAAUGCCAAAACACAGAAUAAAAUGCCAUAUGAUAAAUCUGAGAUUUUGGAGUGAAAUAUUCACAUGGUAAAGAUCAUGUAAUGGUUACUGUCCUUUUUUUUUAGCAUAUCCAUUAACUUUACUGCGGAUUUUUAUAUUUGAAGUUUCUAAGACACUAACACUGAACUAUUAGCUUUUGGGUCCUCUUGAAAUUAUGGGAAAAAAAAUAAGAGAUACGUGUUUCCCUAGAAAAGCUAGACUUAGAAUUUUAUUUACUGUAGAUUUAUUUUACUCUCCAGAAAGUUCACUUUUAAACAAAGUUUUACUAUUAAUAGUGUAGUUAAAUCCUGUUGAUUUUGUGCUUUUAGUAAAUAGAUUCCAAAUAAGUUGACACACAGAGUUUUUAAUAGUUAAUACAUUUUGUACAAACAUGGUAAGACUUUCGGAAUAAAGAUACCUUAAUAUUUGUGACUAAUUAUACUAGACUUAUGAGCAUCAUCUCCUCCAAAAUCUCUGUAUGAAAUAAUUGUCAAGAGAAGUCCAGCCUUGUGACCACGUCCCAUUAACAUUCUUCCCCCACCCACCCCCGGUCUGGUCAUCUCCAUGCAUUAGCUGGGGACAUACAUACAUACAUACAUGCACUGUUGUUGGAGAAGCCAUUUUGCUGAGUGCUGCUGACAUACUGCUUAAACACUAGAAAUUGGAAUGUAAUUGAUGAAAUUUUGGUAUUUUGUGUCCUCAGGGUGUUCUCUGCAUAUCAUUUACACUUUCCACAGUUGCACUAAUUUCAAUUCGAAUUGUUUUGAAUAUUCUUUUCUCCGUCAGAGAUGCUAUCAUUGUAUCUAAUGUUAUAUUUGGCUUGCGUGAUGUCAAACUCAACAAAACAAAUUGUGUUUCACCUUAUGUAGCAUUUCAGGUUUUCCCUGCUAUAGCUGAAAAUGUGUUUCACCUUAUGUAGCAUUUAAAAUUUUCCCUCUUCUGGUUGAAUUUAACUACACAAAUUCAAUCAAUUUUGCCAGUGAGUUCAAAGUGAUAAGUUUUCUUUGUUGUUUUAAUCUCUUUUCUUAAAAUUUUUAAAGGAAAUGAAAAUUCUCCAUACCAGCUAUCAAACAUUUAUAUUAGAACAGAAGGCUUAAUUCAGAUAAAAGUUAAAAGACUGUUGUAAAACCCAUGACUCUGAUAAAAUGAACAGCCAAAGGUCUGUGUUACCUUGGCUUUGGUUCUGUACCCACCAAAGCAAACACUUUCUCCUAGCUCCUUUGUUUAGAAGCACUCAGUCUGUGCAAGAUCAGGCUGCUGUAACCAUCAGCAGUGGACAACUGGGUGAAGUUCUACCAUAUGCCUCGGUAGCUACUGAACAAAGGAAUUCACUCUUAAGCUACUGGGUGAACUUUACCAUGCAUAAACAGCUAUAGUUUUAUGUUUACUAUAUGAAAACAGACGUUAGAAUGAUUAACGUAUUUCCUUUGCUUUCCUGUCACAAAGUAACUUUUGUUCCCUCUUGCUUUGCAGGCAGAAGGUUGCAUAUGUUUCUGACAAUUUUGCUGUCGAGAUAGUUUCUCAGAAAGCACAGAGCUGAAGAAGAAAGUCAGGCAUCAAAUUUCAAAGCUUACCUGAGCCGCUAGCAGUGGCUGCGUGUCUUCCAUUUCAAUUACUGUAUCCUGGCGAGGUGCAGCAGAAAGGAGACUAACUAUCACGUUAUCUCUCCAGAGGUACACGAGAUGGCUAUUUGUCAGUACCGUAUGCGGAGUAAACACUGAAGACAGGUUAUUCUAGCAUAAGAAAGUAGAAUUUUUCAUUUUCUAGCUGUUUACCUUUCAGUUGUGGUGCGAUGUCUUCUUUAGCAGUGUAGGGGUCACAGCGAAAGCUUUCCAGUAAAUCAAUAGUACACUGUCCCACGAUGGGCUUCCGUCCAAAUGGCCUGUGGUCUAUUACUUUAAUAACAAGAGAUGGACUGUACAGCUCCUCUUUUGGCAAAAGCUAAAAAUGAAAGGUCAGAGUUUUUUUUAUAAUGCCAACAGAAGGAAAAUGAAGACUAAAGAUUGCCUCCCUAAAUUAGAGCUGUUACUUCAUUUAUUUAAUACUGAACUAUGUUCUAUGGCUGUUUGGUGAAUGAAAAUUUCUAACCUUAUAUUAUGAUUUAAUAGAAGUCAGUGGGAAUAAGUUUAAUUGCCUCAAAUCUUGAAUUUUCUUGACUCUUGCACAGAUCCCAUCCUAGCAAUAAGAGAAUAGCCACACAUCUGCAGGUAAAUUGAUGCUUUUUCAUAUAUAUAUAUAUAUUGCACUGAAUUAUGCAUAUAAGAUGGUAUAAUUUAUCAGCGAUUGUACAGACAUGUUUAUAUGAUCUUGAUUAGAAUUUUCAGGCUCAGUAAACUGCUUAAUGUUAAGUCAAAAAAGGAUGUGUAAGUUUUUCUAUUCAUUCUUGCAUAACAAAACCUUGAGCUUUCAAAGUACGGGAUAACUGAUUUUUGCCAUGGAUAGCUGAUACAUAGCUUUUUGCAACGUACAACUUUCAUGAAGAGAACCGAAGAUGGAAAAUUUGGUGUCUUUUUGAGGUUUCUGAUCACCACAGAUUCCACCCUUUCACCCCCACAUUCCACAAUGAGACUCGGAGACAUAACAGGUGCCAGCUGGUAGUUUUUCAUGUUCCGCAAACCCCAAGCCAGGAUCUGUAAAAUAAAAUCUAAUAUAACCAAAGGUAGAAGAGACAUCAAGAUGCUUAAUGUGGUACUCAAAAAAGUAGGAAAGAAGAAAUUAAGUAUUUUCCAUAAUAAAAUGUGACUGGGAAAAUAUUUCAGGGUGGUUCUUCUAGAAACAUUAAUGGAAAAAAUGAAACUCAAAAACACAGAAAAAACCCCCCCCGUAUUUCUCACUAUAUUUUUUUCUUAAGUAAAUGCACAAACUUACUAUCAAGAAGAUGAGAUGACGGUACUUGUACUCAGUUAGUUUAAGAACAACCCAUACCUCAACAGCCGUAAGUUGAACUACUGGUCUGAUUCCCUGAGGUACCAUGUAAAGCUUUGGUGCUCUUUGUGAUGGAAGAAUCGGAAGGUUGGCACCACUCUAUUAAGACACAAACAUGAAUAUUAGUUUCUCUCAUCUUCCUUAAAUAAAAUACCUUGCAAAUACGAAGACAAUUCUUCAACAUUAUGACUUGCAGUGAGAGGAUAUAUAAUAUAUCAUAUUAUACAUACACACACAAUAAUGGUAAGAAAUAUACACCUUGUCCUUCAAAAUAAGUUCUGCAGCAAAAAGAAUGUCUCCACUGGCUUUGCCAUUAUUUAUUACAGGAUACCAGAGCAGUUUUGGUGUGAUGUCCUCUUCUGGUAUUAACUUGACCAUGGGGGAACAAAUACUUCUUCCAAGGAAUUCAUCUUUACCCUGCAACCAAAAAUAGCAAUCUUAGCCAUUAAUGUUAUUCUCAAUUAAUAUAAAUAAAUAAAUAAAUAAAUAACCAAUCAGGGUAAAAAGCAUUCACCUACCACUUGGUCACUGUCGAAAAGUUCAAUGACAACAUUAGGUGGGUUUUGGGCCACUGUCUGUGGGUUCCCAUAGAUCUCAAUUUCAUGAAAUAUGAGAGUUUGGUCCCAUGUAGGAUUUAGAGUUGAAUGAAUGAUCUCGGUUGUUUUGCUUUGAUGGAGGAAAGAAACAUGAGCAUAUGGAUCUGAAAUAUCAUGCAAAGAUUAAAAACACAGAGUUACAAACAAACAAAACCCCAUCAAGCCAUAAGGCAUACAGGCACCAUUUUUUAUCAAAUAUAGUAUAUUAUUUUUCUUUUGUCACUACCAGUUCUAUAAGCCAUUCUAUUUAAAACAAAAGCCCACAUAUACACAUAAUUUACAUUUAAUAGAGCAAAUUCCAUUUCGUUACUAAAUAGCUUCCUUUAUUAAUAGUAUAAAUGAAAAUGAUAAAACAUCUCGCAAAUCAGAAAGAAAAUCUGAAAAAUAAAAUGAAACACUGGCUAUACUAAUCUCCCUUUAGUUAUUGUCCCUAGAAGCUUUUUUUGCUUGUUGUCUCCAUGUAUAUACAGCUGUACAGACUCAUAAAUAAUACAGAGAAAUAAUUCUAGUUCUGACUAGUUGCGAAACAACAUUCUCCCAAGCUGUAUUGCUCAGAUCAAGUUUUGGUUUCAAACAUGCUUAUUUAUAGCAACCUCUUCUUGUAAAACAGCUGAAUGAUUAAAGUGGUCUAGGCCCAGUGGCAGGUCUUUAAAUCAUCAGGCUCUAUAGAAGGUAUCCGACGAUGGUCAUUAACAUUUCCUGUACAAAUUGCAAUUACUAAGGACUGGAGGCUAUUUUAAAGGUUAUCUUUAGAUCAGUUUCAACAGCUUCUGGCUAAGAACCUGAACAGAGUUUUACAAAAUUUGGCUAAAACUUCAAACUAGUUUUAGAGGAAAAUAAAAUUAGAUGUGCUAGUUUAUGUGUGACUGCAUCUCGGGUCCCUAUCUUGAAUUCUACAUAUCCAAAUUAGAGGCAUGUAUUGUUGUUUCUUUGUAUUGUGCUGCAUUUUGAAGUAAGACCAAAUAUACACAGGCGGCUGUAUAAAAGACUCCCCUCAUUUCAGAAAACAGCACUAAAAUAUCUGUAACUCUAUGUCUUUUGUAAUAAAUUAGUAAAUGCAUCACACUUAAUUAUUAAUUAAAACACGGAGAAAAAGAAUGCCAUAAAUGGAGAUUGAUGGGGAAAGAAAAUUCUAGGCUGCUCAUUUCAUCUUUGUCUGGACUUAUUUAAAGGGAAGUGUAAAGGCAUAUUCUUACAGAAUCUAAUUUCAAUUUGCCCUCUGACUACACUGUGAAAUUUUAAUUCUAAUUAGCAAAAAUUAAAUACUUGAUAAUCUGGGUAUUGAAUUAGCCUGACUACAAAGAGGCCAAAUGGAUACAGCACUGUUGGGAUACCUAAGAGCUGAAAAUUGCCAUUACUAUUGAAAAAAGGGCAACAGGUACACUUGUAUGAAAAAACAAAAGCCAUGCUUAUUAGUAAGGGGCAGUGUAGUUUUCCACAGGUUCAUCUCAGUAACGCAUUAAUGUAAAAUACUGAACGCUGAGAGGCAGUUGGUGACGUGACAGCCAUCCAGCUUUCCUCAUCCUUGCUUUUGUGUGAGCUUCCUGCAGGACAGCUUAGGAACCGCAUGUAGGCUUAGAAGGAGAAGCUAAGGAAGGCACAGGGAUCAGUCCUGGGAAAUUCAGACCUUAUCUGAAUUCCCAUUCCCUCGCUGAGAAUUAGUUGGCAGCAGCAGGUGCUGCACAUUCAGAGCACUUAUUUUUGUGCAGCUCCUGGGGCAGUACUAACCAAAUCUGGAUCAUAUGUAAUGAAGCUGAGACUUCAUGGUGCGGUUUCAGUAGCUGGAACCUACCCACAGACCUUAAAGAUUUAAGAUAUUCUGUAGCUAAAUCGAGUUACACAAGUGGGUUUUCUGCCCCAUUAUAAUGAUUUUUCCAUACCUGAAAAGCUGUCUUUGUCUAAAGCCAUGAGAUUUCUUGCUUGGUAGACGUAACAGCGAAGGUGGUAAGUAUAUACUCCUGUAUGAAAUAAAUAAAAGAGUUCAACUGCAUUACGCAGGCUUCUUUUCUGCAAUGAAGAUAUUUUGAGUUUAUAAAAAUGCUUUACACAUUUUAGCUCAAGCACUGCAGCACAUUUCUGCUUUUCUAGGAACAGGUGUACUAAUACCAACAAGCUACGACCUGAAAGCAUUUAUUCCAACACUGUUUAAAGCAGAAAUUAAAAAAUAAACAUAACAAACAGAAAACAAGCAAAACACAAAAAAAACCCCACAAGAUUAAAGCUACUUGGAUGUUUUUCAUCGCAUGAUCAUCUAAAAAUUCUUCUAUUCAAAAAUUCCCCUUUGAAAUGCUGUCAUAAGCCAGUACCUCCAAAGAGAAUCAAGAACUGGGCAUUCCUGGGCUUACUACGGCACUUACAGGGACCUGGGAGUUUCACAUUUUUAGCUGUUAGGUCUAGAAAGUUAAUUCCAAUUGCAACUCUAUCUGUUUAGCUACAAGAUUAAAAAAUAAAAUAAAAUCACUGCAGUUAAGGCGGACUAGCGAAAACGUGAGAGCAGCCCAAGCCCUGGACAGCACAUGGCUAAGUUACUUCAGCUGUUCUUUAAAAGAUGUAAGCUCUAACCCUUUCAAGCCCUUGGAAAAAUCUGAGCCACACACAGCCUCAGUGAGCUGAAACCUCUGAAGUCUGGUAAGAAAAGGUGCCUUUCUGCUCCUAUUGUGGUCAUUAUUUAAAAGAAACCACAAUAAUCUUCCUCAGCUUCUGAAAGACAAGAUUUAACAUUUAGGCUCCCAUUUCUGGGGGGAGAUCAAGUUCUGCAGAGUCCAAAUAAAGACAAGUGUUCCAGUCAGAGAUCCUCAAAAAGGGUUUCGAGUCUUAGGAGUGGAUGCAAUUGGCCUUUUUUCCUGUUAACUGACAGUGGUGGAUCCCACUGCAGUGAUUCCAAGGCAUUGAGAGUCACUCCACAUGGGCAAAGUUAACAUUUUGUUCACUUUGCCAACUCACCUGCAUGGUCUUACUGCUUCCUCUGGGUCAGGCAUUUGUCUGACCCUGCAUUGAGCUGGUUAAGUGAGCUGAAACAGCAAAAAAUUGGUUGUACAUAUACUAUCUCUGCUGGCUUAGCUUCCUGCAUUGUUACGGAAGGACCUUAAGGCUAAAAAAGCAUCAUUUAAAAUAGACUAAAAUUCAGGUGCUGCAAUAGCUUUAAAAUUCCUGUCCUGUACAGGUUUUAAACAUGUCUCCAUGACAGUGGACUGAAAUAUCGAAAUGACUAACUAAUUUUUCUUUUAGUAGCCUAAAUAGAGCCCAAUCAAGGAUCAGAUAGUAACUGUAACAGAAGGUAUGUAAACCUAUAUGUAAACCACAAAGAACUGCAAUUGUGUUUGAGACCAGGGAGAAACAGACGUGAUUUACAAGAAAGGAAUUGUUAAAGAACCUACUGUCAAAGUAGCAGGAAACAAGCGGUGUAUUGGCACCAAACACCUUUGUAGCCGACUCCUUGGUUUUGUCUGGACUCUUCCCAUCUCCAUCAUCAACACUAGUGUCUGCUCCCUGAAGUUAUAUACAGAAAAAACAGUUACUGCAUAUUUACAAACAUAGAAGGAACCUGAUAAAAGUAAACUGUUUGUGGGAAUAUACAGAGUUUCAGUCUCUCCUCCAGGACAAGGUUGAAUUUAGUUUCCUGAGUAAAUGUACUUAAAAAGAUGUUUACUCAUGUCUGAAGGUCAUUUCUUGCUGCCAUUGAAGCUGGGCAGAAGUAAGAUCCAGUCAUUUCAUCUUACUUUCCAGACAUUCUGGAGAUACACCAACUACCUGCCAGCCCUUACUGAAGGAGAGGUGGCAGGUGUUCUGCACUGCGCUGUUGCAGAGAACUGCUCCAAGGCCUUAUCCUAGCAAUGGCCCAGGAAGGAUACUCAGAAGAGAAACUGAAUCGAGAAUUUUUAAACUCUGUGGAGCCACUUAUGUGGAGAAAGAAAAUGCUAUCAUGAAUCAUGGUCGACAUUUGGUGCAAAAAAGAGAAACAAACCAAGAAAAAGCCACAAACAUUUGUUAAUGCUAUACAGUCAGAGUUAGAAUAAUGAGUUUAGACAAACAAGUAGCUCUCUCACAUUAUUUGCUCCAGUUUGUAUUUUGGUAAAUAGAGCUUGUCUAUGAAGCUGUGUUAACCUGAAAACUUGAGUAGUGGUGGUCUGUUUGUGAUUUAUGACAUUCUGGCUUCCCAACACUUUGUUUUCCUUUCUUGUGUUUGUUUAUACAUGCAAAUAUUAAUCACAGCCAGCUGUUUCAAUGCGUGUUGUUUCUAUGCACCUGAAAAGCUUGAGGUAUCUUUUCACUUUACUUAUAGAAGGCUCAUCUAGUAAUAUGGCCUUUUGCUCUAAAUCUCAGAUAAUGUAAUAAUAAAAAUAAUUUGAAAAAUAAACUAAUGAGCAUGUUAUGCAAGAGUCUCUACUCUGACUUUCAUGGUCCCUUUUCAGACUCUAAACAAUUUAAAUGCUAUAAACUCUAUUAGUUCCUCAGUUAUACAUCAAUCUAACAACUCAGGGAUUAAAAUAUCUGAUAUACUAAUUGUUUAUUUAUGGUAGAUUAACAGAUUGGAUUUAUAAAGACUUUUGAUACUCUGUCCUUACCAAAGCACCUUCAAGUUUAAAGAUAGCUGCUGCACCGUGUGUCUCUGAGGGAGCCAUUUUUCGUCUCCAUCGUCUUCGACGGAAAGUAUCAGAACUGCGUUGUUUCCAGUGAAAUUUCCAGCCAAUCAAGGAAGCGUAUUCCCAUCCUUCUUGAUCUUCAUAUGAAGACAUUCCCUGGAAGACAUAAAUCCGUGUAAUCCAGAAUGUUGUAUAAAUGUAAUGAAAAACAUCAGAACUUGCCCUGGCAGGCAUAAUAAUCCCCUCGUAAACCAAAGCUGGAAACAUCAAUUUACAAAAAGACAAAAGGAAUAUAAUGAAAACAUACAAGGUUGUUCUAGAUAUUUUUUGUUUGGUAUUAAAUUAUUUUUUCCGCAAAUGAGUAAUCUCAUGUAGAUUUUUUCUUUUAAAUAAACUCAAACUGUUACAAUGUU